rnacentral:rRNA from 1 species
CGAGUUUGAUCCUGGCUCAGGAUGAACGCUAGCGGAGGCCUAAUACAUGCAAGUCGAACGGUAACAGGUAGCAAUACGCUGACGAGUGGCGCACGGGUGCGUAACGCGUACACAAUCUGCCUUAUACUGGGGCAUAGCCUUUGGAAACGAAGAAUAAUUCCCCAUAACAUAUAGAAGAGGCAUCUCUUUUAUAUUAAAGCUCAGGCGGUAUAAGAUGAGUGUGCGUCCGAUUAGGUAGUUGGUGAGGUAACGGCUCACCAAGCCAACGAUCGGUAGCUGGUCUGAGAGGAUGAUCAGCCACACGGGCACUGAGACACGGGCCCGACUCCUACGGGAGGCAGCAGUAGGGAAUAUUGGACAAUGGGCGCAAGCCUGAUCCAGCCAUCCCGCGUGAAGGAUGAAGGUCCUCUGGAUUGUAAACUUCUUUUCUUCGGGAAUAAAAACUGGGGUUCUCCUCAGCUUGAAGGUACCGAAGGAAUAAGCACCGGCUAACUCCGUG